rnacentral:rRNA from 1 species
CCUACGGGUGGCAGCAGUGGGGAAUAUUGCGCAAUGGGCGAAAGCCUGACGCAGCGACGCCGCGUGAAGGAAGAAGGCUUUCGGGUUGUAAACUUCUUUUAAGGGGGAAGAGCAGAAGACGGUACCCCUUGAAUAAGCCACGGCUAACUACGUGCCAGCAGCCGCGGUAAUACGUAGGUGGCAAGCGUUGUCCGGAUUUACUGGGUGUAAAGGGCGUGCAGCCGGAGAGACAAGUCAGAUGUGAAAUCCACGGGCUCAACCCGUGAACUGCAUUUGAAACUGUUUCCCUUGAGUGUCGGAGAGGUAAUCGGAAUUCCUUGUGUAGCGGUGAAAUGCGUAGAUAUAAGGAAGAACACCAGUGGCGAAGGCGGAUUACUGGACGAUAACUGACGGUGAGGCGCGAAAGCGUGGGGAGCAAACAGGAUUAGAUACCCUUGUAGUC